AUUGAACGCUGGCGGCAGGCCUAACACAUGCAAGUCGAGCGGACGAAGGGGGCUUUCUCCUGGAUUCAGCGGCGGACGGGCGAGUGAUUCCUAGGAAGCUACCUUGUAGUUGGGGAUAACGUCCGGAAACGAGCGCUGAUACCACACCCGUCCUGAGGUAGAAAGUGAGGGAUCUUCGGACCAAACGCUAUCAGCUGAGCCUAAUUCAUGGUAGCUCGUCGGAUUAGCUAGUUGGUACGGUAACGGCUUACCAAGGCAACGAUGCGUAGCUGACCUGAGAGGGUGAUCGGCCACACUGGAACUGAGACACGGUCCAGACUCCUACGGGAGGCAGCAGUAGGGAAUCUUCCGCAAUGGGCGAAAGCCUGACGGAGCAACGCCGCGUGAGUGAUGAAGGUCUUCGGAUUGUAAAACUCUGUUAGUAGGGAAGAACGAAAGUAUAAGUAACUAUGCACGUCUUGACGGUACCUAAACAAAAAGCCACGGCUAACUACGUG
rnacentral:rRNA from 1 species